rnacentral:rRNA from 1 species
UACGUAGGGCGCGAGCGUUGUCCGGAAUUAUUGGGCGUAAAGAGCUCGUAGGCGCCUGUUGCGCCUGCUGUGAAAUUCCAGGGCUUAACCCUGGGCUUGCAGUGGAUACGGGCAGGCUGGAGGCAGGCAGGGGAGAACGGAAUUCCCGGUGUAGCGGUGAAAUGCGCAGAUAUCGGGGAGGAACACCGGUGGCGAAGGCGGGUCUCUGGGCAGUAACUGACGGCUGAGGAGCGAAAGCGUGGGGAGCGAACAGGAUUAGAUACCCC